AGCCACCCUGAGCCUUGGCAGGAGCCCCGGACUAAGGCCGGGAAGAGCAUCCUCGCAUCUCUCACCCAGCAUCCCGGCCGAGCUAGAAGAGGAGAAGCCAUCAAGUCCAGAUCGACAUUGGCGAGAGACGAUCAGCCUGAAGCCUCUCAUAGACAUCUUAGGAUACGUGAUGCGGGUACAGACUUCCUGCCUUGUUGUGGAAUUAUACAAGCGUCCCCUUGGUGCUAGCACUGUGAUUCAACCCCCCUGCAGCCUUCCUUGCAAAGGAGGACAAAGCAACUGCAUUCAAAAGGGAUGGAUGCACACUCUGAUUUUUCAUCUCUAAAACCCCACUUCACAGUGAACGCCUUUCAAAUACAGUGCAGUCAGAGCCCAGAGAAUCAAAGAGCUGGAAGUGGCCUCAUGUUGGGUAUCUACCUAGCUCUCCUGCCUCCAAGCAAGACAUUUGUUGAAUACAUGUUGGAGAUGACAGCAAAGGCCAUUCAUGACAAAUGAUUGAUGAUUGUACUCUUAAGGCUUCCUGGGGCUAAAAGCUUUGGAAAUGGAUCCUCAAACUGGGAAGUAUAGAACAAAACUUUAUAAUAGAGAAUUAGAACUCAACACUAAUGAAGAUACCAUCAAAGAGCAUCUCAUUGCCCUCAAAGAGUUCAAGUCACCAGUUGACAAGAGUAACAUCCCUUGAAGCUGCUUCUUGCUUUGAAUACUGCCUCUCUGGUUCUGCAUCUGGGUUCUGUCUGGAAAGUGCAUGUUUUUGUCUCAAACUCGAACUUCUUGAUUCCCCAAACUGUUUCCUGCUAGACCAGCCAGUUUCUUGGGAUGGACUUGUCUGAGCUUGGCAACAAAGGCCUUCAAGGUAGCAGUUGUGGUGUCUCCAGAGCAACAGGUACUGGCUGCAGGGGAAGAAUCUGCAUCCUAGUGAUUGGCUACCAACAAGAGGACUGACCCAAUCUUGGAUCACGUUACCAGCAGACAAGUGCUAGGUGUGAUAUAGGCAUGAUCACAUAGCAUUAAAUCUAGGUAAGAUGUUAAAUGGCUGGCUAGCAGCUUUUCCAACUGUUUUACAUGCUGAGUGGGCUUGAAUAUUAGCCUUCCAAAUGAUUAUAGCAAUAGUUAUAAGUUACUGAAUCUCAUUAAUUUUGAAUUUGCUCUCUCAUUUCCACCUCUUUGCUACUGCCUCCUAACCCCAAAUCACUUCGAAUAUAUUCUGUAUCUACUUAUUUAAGUGUUGUUUUCCCAGUUAGAAUGUAAGCCCCUUGAGGGAAGAAACAGUUUCAUUGUCAUCUUUGUAACACUAAUACCUGAUACAUUAUAGCUGUUUAA